GACGAGCCUCCUCGCAUAGAAAGUCGGUAAACCUGGUCAGGUCUGGAAAGAAGCAGCCAUAGCCGUUCCAACUAGUGCCGAGGGUCAGGCUCGUCAUU
rnacentral:SRP_RNA from 1 species